GACGAACGCUGGCGGCGUGCCUAAUACAUGCAAGUAGAACGCUGAAGGAGGAGCUUGCUCUUCUGGAUGAGUUGCGAACGGGUGAGUAACGCGUAGGUAACCUGCCUGGUAGCGGGGGAUGACUAUUGGAAACGAUAGCUAAUACCGCAUAACAGUAGAUGUUGCAUGACAUUUACUUAAAAGGUGCAAUUGCAUCACUACCAGAUGGACCUGCGUUGUAUUAGCUAGUUGGUGGGGUAACGGCUCACCAAGGCGACGAUACAUAGCCGACCUGAGAGGGUGAUCGGCCACACUGGGACUGAGACACGGCCCAGACUCCUACGGGAGGCAGCAGUAGGGAAUCUUCGGCAAUGGACGGAAGUCUGACCGAGCAACGCCGCGUGAGUGAAGAAGGUUUUCGGAUCGUAAAGCUCUGUUGUAAGAGAAGAACGAGUGUGAGAGUGGAAAGUUCACACUGUGACGGUAUCUUACCAGAAAGGGACGGCUAACUACGUG
rnacentral:rRNA from 1 species